rnacentral:rRNA from 1 species
AAUGGGUCAGCGACUUAUAUUCUGUAGCAAGGUUAACCGAAUAGGGGAGCCGAAGGGAAACCGAGUCUUAACUGGGCGUUAAGUUGCAGGGUAUAGACCCGAAACCCGGUGAUCUAGCCAUGGGCAGGUUGAAGGUUGGGUAACACUAACUGGAGGACCGAACCGACUAAUGUUGAAAAAUUAGCGGAUGACUUGUGGCUGGGGGUGAAAGGCCAAUCAAACCGGGAGAUAGCUGGUUCUCCCCGAAAGCUAUUUAGGUAGCGCCUCGUGAAUUCAUCUCCGGGGGUAGAGCACUGUUUCGGCAAGGGGGUCAUCCCGACUUACCAACCCGAUGCAAACUGCGAAUACCGGAGAAUGUUAUCACGGGAGACACACGGCGGGUGCUAACGUCCGUCGUGAAGAGGGAAACAACCCAGACCGCCAGCUAAGGUCCCAAAGUCAUGGUUAAGUGGGAAACGAUGUGGGAAGGCCCAGACAGCCAGGAUGUUGGCUUAGAAGCAGCCAUCAUUUAAAGAAAGCGUAAUAGCUCACUGGUCGAGUCGGCCUGCGCGGAAGAUGUAACGGGGCUAAACCAUGCACCGAAGCUGCGGCAGCGACACUAUGUGUUGUUGGGUAGGGGAGCGUUCUGUAAGCCUGCGAAGGUGGCCUGUGAGGGUUGCUGGAGGUAUCAGAAGUGCGAAUGCUGACAUA